UAGGAAGUGGUGUAGUGGAUGCACGAGGAGUUUUGAUCUCCUUAGAUUAGGUUUAAAUCCUUCCUUUCUAG
rnacentral:tRNA from 1 species